rnacentral:lncRNA from 1 species
GGCAGAAAAUUUAAACAUUUGAACUUUCAAAGACAAAAGUUCGCUGGAAUUGUACUGUAAAGUCUAAAGCUAAUUUCAUUGUCUACUCAGAUCACAUUUUGAUUGUCUAAACUGUGACAUUUUGAAUCUAAAUUCGUCAAGUCUGUAUAGUUGAUCAUAAUUUUAACACCCUGAACGUGUCGUGGAAAAAGGGAACCCAAGACGAAUUCAAAGUCUCCCUUAAGUGUAAAAUUAUAGCCAGAAUAAUGCGAUUAUGCGAGGACCUUUAGGAAAAUGUUUUUAUAAAUUAGAGCCUUAAACCAUCAUCAAGUAUACAAAAAAGAAGAAACAUGGGACCUUUAGAGAAAGUACCCUGCCUUGUUUCCAUGGUCCUGUAUGUUCUGCUCUUCUCUUCACCCAAACCUCCUGCUGCUUCUGCUUCUGCUUCUGCUUCUGCUGAAGAGGCUAAUGCUCUCCUCAAAUGGAAAGCUUCCCUUCAAAGCGCCAGCAAUUCUCUACUAACUUCGUGGACACUUCCUCCUCGUAAUGACUCCGGUUCAAGUGCAAGCGGCCCAUGCCAUUGGUAUGGAGUUUCUUGCGACAGUGAAGGAAGUGUCAUCGGAAUGAAACGUGACAACUCGUCGUAAGCGGGUACUCUCGAAAGCUUUUCAUUCUGCUAGUUCCCUAAUCUUGCAUAUAUGGAUUCUGUAUCAAUCAACUCUUGGUUCCAUCCACCUCAAAUUGGUGCCCUAUCCAAACUUGUUUACCUUAAUUUGUCUCCACCAGAAAAAUCAAUUUCGGGGGGGAACAUCCCACCAGAAAUUGGCCUGCGCUAACAAAAUAUUCGAUAACCCUCCACAUGCGUUCAAAAAACCAGUUUGAAGGCUCAAUUACUCAAGAGAUAAGCUGUUAAAGUCUCUUUCAGAGCUUGCUUUUGUACCACCCAAUCGUAUCAGUGGUCCCAUUCCUGCUUCUUUGGUUGUAAUUUGAGGCAACUUCUUGACUCUCUAUAUCUCUACGAAAAAUCAACUUUCUGGCUCCUUCCACCAGAGAAAUGGAAAUUUGCUAAUCUCAUGUGGCUUUACAUGGAUCAUAAACAAUUUUUAACAGGUCCUAUUCCUUCAACUUUCGUGAACUUGAAUAGGCUAAAAUAUGUUGAAGCUGUCGUGUGAACCAACUUUCUGGUUUCCAUCCUCAAGAAUAGGAAACUUGAAGUCCCUCAUCAGUUUAGAACUGACCCAGAUCCACUUUAUAUAAUAGAUAUAUUGUAAAUGGUACCAUUCUGCCUCAUUAGGUAACAUGUCCAAAUUAGAAACACUCCUCUUCUUGCGUAUCAAACCAAACUUUCUGGUCCCAUUCCAACAGAAGUCGGCCAAUUUGAAAAACUGCUCUUGUAUUGGUAAGGUCACAAAUCAGUAUCGGGCCAUCUACCGGAGAUUUUGCCAAGGUGGGAGGAAAACUUCAAAAAAUCACUGUGACAACAAUUCAGCUCGCCGGGGGCCAAUCCCCAAAAGUCUGAGAGACUGUAAAGCUUAGUCAGAGUCCGCCUGCCUUGAAGGAAACCAAUUCACUGGGGAAAGCAUAUUUGAAGCCUUGAUGUCAUCCAAAUCUAAAAAAUUGGAUCGAAGUCGCAAUAACUUCAUGGUGAAACUCAAAAAACGGAGUAGCUGCCCCCGACUGCAAAACUUUGAUGAGGCAGGCGAACAACAUACCGGUCGCAUACCACCAGAGUUGGGAGAAGAUUCGCCUCAACUUCAAAGGGCUUAACCGUUUCCAAUCAUUUGAUUGGGGAGGUCCCACAUGAAUUGGGGAAGUGAAUUCUCUGCUCGACUCUAUCUGGAGAAACCAACACUCCGGCAGUAUAACUAAAGAACUUGGAUCCCUGACUAAACUGCAGAAGCUGACCUUCCAUAAACAGAUAAAUGGGCCAUAGCAGCUGGAAAUUGGAGAAUUGCAUGCAACUGAUUAACUGAAUUUGAGCAGCAUAAUUUUAGCCAAAGCAUCCCAGAGCAACUGAGUACUUACCUAAAACUGUCAACCAUGGAUCUAAGUCAGAAUUUCACUUUCAGGGAGGGAUUACCGCACAGUUCAAAGUUCAAGAGGUUUGGAUGGGUUGAGCCUCUCCCACAAUAAUCUUUAUGGUGCAUUCCAAGGAAUUUGAAGACAUGCAUUGGUUGCAUCACAUGAUAUAUCCUACAAUGAGUUGGAGGGUCCCAUUCCCACCAGCAAAGCCCGUUAGUGAAUGCUUCCAUAGAGGCAUGCAAGGGAACAAACAUUGUGUGGAAAUGUCACAGGAUUGCAGCUUGCAAAAAUUUCAUUUUGAGUGAACAAAAACACUGCACGAGAACAGACUCUUAUUCUAAUAAUCGUGCUCCCCUUGGCGGAGCACUUUACUUCUAGGUGCACUCGCCGCGGACUUUGUGUCGCAUGGGAUAGAAGAAAGAAAAUUCCAGAAAAAAGGGUCCUACGGGAGGAUCUUCUCCCAUAUCAAUAUACAAUGAUAGAAGCAAUGUAAAUGACAUUCCUCAAGCUACAAAAUAACUUUGAUCCGAUAUGUGCAUAGGAAAGGGAGGAUAUGGAACUGUCUACAAGCAAAACUGCUAACAUAUAGCUGUGAAGAAACAUUCAUCCUUCAAACCGCGAGGGUGAUCGUAAAGGUUUCUUGAACGAGGUCAGAAGCAUUCAAAAAUUAGGAAUCGAAAUUAUAGUAAGCUUUUCGGGUUUUGUAUCGCGUGCCCAACAACUAUAGUUGGUUUACGAGUACUCGAAAGGGGUAGCUUGGCUACCAAUUUUGAGCAGAGAUGAAAGAAGCUCAAAAUUAGAUUGGCCAAAGAGAGUUACUAUUGUCACGGGUGUGCGCAUGCUUUAUCAGAUAUGCACCAUGAUUGUACACCCUCAAUUGUUCACCGGGACCAUAACAAGCAGAAAUGUUUUGAUGACAAGAGUAUGAGGCUCGUGUAUCAGAACUUUGGCAGCAAGUGAAGCUUCCUGAAGCGGAUUCUCUAAUGGGUGCACCUUGUAGGCACAUACGGAU